rnacentral:rRNA from 1 species
CCUACGGGUGGCUGCAGUGAGGAAUUUUGGUCAAUGGGCGCGAGCCUGAACCAGCCAAGUAGCGUGAAGGAUGACUGCCCUACGGGUUGUAAACUUCUUUUAUAAAGGCAUAAAGUGAGGCACGUGUGCCUUUUUGUAUGUACUUUAUGAAUAAGGAUCGGCUAACUCCGUGCCAGCCGCCGCGGUAAUAAGGAGGAUCCGAGCGUUACCCGGAUUUCUUGGGUUUAAAGGGUUCGUAGGCGGAAUGCCAAGUCAGCGGUAUAAUCGCGGGGCUCAACCUCGCUCCGCCGUUGAACCUGGCGUUCUUGAGUGGGCGAGAAGUAUGCGGAAUGCGUGGUGUAGCGGUGAAAUGCAUAGAUAUCACGCAGAACUCCGAUUGCGAAGGCAGCAUACCGGCGCCCAACUGACGCUGAAGCACGAAAGCGUGGGUAUCGAACAGGAUUAGAUACCCCGGUAGUC